rnacentral:misc_RNA from 1 species
UACGUAGGGUGCGAGCGUUGUCCGGAUUUAUUGGGCGUAAAGAGCUCGUAGGCGGUUUGUCGCGUCGAUCGUGGAAACUUAUGGCUUAACUGUGAGCGUGCGGUCGAUACGGGCAGACUGGAGGACGGUAGGGGCAAGUGGAAUUCCUGGUGUAGCGGUGGAAUGCGCAGAUAUCAGGAGGAACACCGAUGGCGAAGGCAGCUUGCUGGGCCGUUCCUGACGCUGAGGAGCGAAAGCGUGGGUAGCGAACAGG